AGCUGGGACCGAGCAUGCCGGCGAGCGACCAUGGUAAAGGUAUCGCACCCUAGACAGUGGCCACCCGAGUCGAGUUGUUUUACAUUUUGUUAGUAAUUUACCUAUGAUCAUCUUUUGUACUUGAUGACUAGUGAUGUAAAGCAAAGAAUGUAAAGUUUGUUUUGAGUUAAUGUGAUGUAAGAAAGAAAUGAUGAAAAGUAUGUAAAGAAUUAUGAAUGUACAAGUCAAGUGACAAGUAUGUG
rnacentral:lncRNA from 1 species